UUUUGUAUAACAAUUUCCAACCUACAUGAUUAAUUUCAGACCAUUUUACGGUUUUAGCGUUGUGUAUAAAUGCGCGCCGGCGCUAACUAGCAUACAUUUCUCGUGCAGGUUGGCUGUUAUAAAGUUUCCAAACUGACCAAAUACCAACGAAUGACUUCUGAAGAAGGGUGGAUUUAUUUGUAGUUUAGUUAAACAAUAAUUUGCCCCGUCAGAAUGCUGCCUGAACGUUCCGAAUUUGGCAGACACGGUGAGGACAAUGCUGAGGAAAAUUGCCACAAACAAAGUCCUGGAGCAGCUCGGCCUCCGUGGAAAGUCAGGAAAAGUGGCGUUUGAGGACUUGCCCCUUUACAGAAUAAUAAAUAAGGCAUGCAGGGGUGUUUACAAGCAGACGACCACAGCUGAAGUGGAUUGUGAGCUUGGAGAGGUCCUGAAACUGGCCACUUUUCGAAAGGGAGGUUCAAAAUUUGAGGAGAAGAGGAGGAAUUAAGAGGGAGGACAAAAAAGGGAAAAGAAACAAGCAAAAGAACAGAGUGAGAUGAGAGAUGGCUCCUUCUUUUGUGGUCGUUGAGUUCCUUGGUGAACAUUCAGUCGCUGUUGUCCCAACCAAAUGGACAGAAGAUGAUGGAAAGAAUACCUUCUGCUAUUGGCCAAGGCCAAAUCCUACCCACUCCAGAAUCCGGAAAGCUGAGAUUCCUGACAAACAAUUCUAGGAGAGGCUGCCAAUUCGGG